rnacentral:rRNA from 1 species
GAAUGCUGACAUAAGUAACGAUAAAGCGGGUGAAAAGCCCGCUCGCCGGAAGACCAAGGGUUCCUGUCCAACGUUAAUCGGGGCAGGGUGAGUCGACCCCUAAGGCGAGGCCGAAAGGCGUAGUCGAUGGGAAACGGGUUAAUAUUCCCGUACUUGGUGUUACUGCGAAGGGGGGACGGAGAAGGCUAUGUUGGCCGGGCGACGGUUGUCCCGGUUUAAGCGUGUAGGUGUGUGUUCCAGGUAAAUCCGGUUCACUUUAACACUGAGGCGUGACGACGAGGCACUACGGUGCUGAAGCAACAAAUGCCCUGCUUCCAGGAAAAGCCUCUAAGCAUCAGGUAACAUCAAAUCGUACCCCAAACCGACACAGGUGGUCAGGUAGAGAAUACCAAGGCGCUUGAGAGAACUCGGGUGAAGGAACUAGGCAAAAUGGUGCCGUAACUUCGGGAGAAGGCACGCUGACACGUAGGUGAAGUGAUUUACUCAUGGAGCUGAAGUCAGUCGAAGAUACCAGCUGGCUGCAACUGUUUAUUAAAAACACAGCACUGUGCAAACACGAAAGUGGACGUAUACGGUGUGACGCCUGCCCGGUGCCGGAAGGUUAAUUGAUGGGGUCAGCGCAAGCGAAGCUCCUGAUCGAAGCCCCGGUAAACGGCGGCCGUAACUAUAACGGUCCUAAGGUAGCGAAAUUCCUUGUCGGGUAAGUUCCGACCUGCACGAAUGGCGUAAUGAUGGCCAGGCUGUCUCCACCCGAGACUCAGUGAAAUUGAACUCGCUGUGAAGAUGCAGUGUACCCGCGGCAAGACGGAAAGACCCCGUGAACCUUUACUAUAGCUUGACACUGAACAUUGAGCCUUGAUGUGUAGGAUAGGUGGGAGGCUUUGAAGUGUGGACGCCAGUCUGCAUGGAGCCGACCUUGAAAUACCACCCUUUAAUGUUUGAUGUUCUAACGUGGACCCGUUACCCGGGUUGCGGACAGUGUCUGGUGGGUAGUUUGACUGGGGCGGUCUCCUCCUAAAGAGUAACGGAGGAGCACGAAGGUUGGCUAAUCCUGGUCGGACAUCAGGAGGUUAGUGCAAUGGCAUAAGCCAGCUUGACUGCGAGCGUGACGGCGCGAGCAGGUGCGAAAGCAGGUCAUAGUGAUCCGGUGGUUCUGAAUGGAAGGGCCAUCGCUCAACGGAUAAAAGGUACUCCGGGGAUAACAGGCUGAUACCGCCCAAGAGUUCAUAUCGACGGCGGUGUUUGGCACCUCGAUGUCGGCUCAUCACAUCCUGGGGCUGAAGUAGGUCCCAAGGGUAUGGCUGUUCGCCAUUUAAAGUGGUACGCGAGCUGGGUUUAGAACGUCGUGAGACAGUUCGGUCCCUAUCUGCCGUGGGCGCUGGAGAACUGAGGGGGGCUGCUCCUAGUACGAGAGGACCGGAGUGGACGCAUCACUGGUGUUCGGGUUGUCAUGCCAAUGGCACUGCCCGGUAGCUAAAUGCGGAAGAGAUAAGUGCUGAAAGCAUCUAAGCACGAAACUUGCCCCGAGAUGAGUUCUCCCUGAGACUUAAAGUCUCCUG